ACAUGCAAGUCGAACGAUGAAGCCCUUCGGGGUGGAUUAGUGGCGAACGGGUGAGUAACACGUGGGCAAUCUGCCCUUCACUCUCGGACAAGCCCUGGAAACGGGGUCUAAUACCGGAUAAUACUUCCACUCUCCUGGGUGGUUGUUGAAAGCUCCGGCGGUGAAGGAUGAGCCCGCGGCCUAUCAGCUUGUUGGUGAGGUAAUGGCUCACCAAGGCGACGACGGGUAGCCGGCCUGAGAGGGCGACCGGCCACACUGGGACUGAGACACGGCCCAGACUCCUACGGGAGGCAGCAGUGGGGAAUAUUGCACAAUGGGCGAAAGCCUGAUGCAGCGACGCCGCGUGAGGGAUGACGGCCUUCGGGUUGUAAACCUCUUUCAGCAGGGAAGAAGCGAAAGUGACGGUACCUGCAGAAGAAGCGCCGGCUAACUACGUGCCAGCAGCCGCGGUAAUACGUAGGGCGCAAGCGUUGUCCGGAAUUAUUGGGCGUAAAGAGCUCGUAGGCGGCUUGUCACGUCGGGUGUGAAAGCCCGGGGCUUAACCCCGGGUCUGCAUUCGAUACGGGCUAGCUAGAGUGUGGUAGGGGAGAUCGGAAUUCCUGGUGUAGCGGUGAAAUGCGCAGAUAUCAGGAGGAACACCGGUGGCGAAGGCGGAUCUCUGGGCCAUUACUGACGCUGAGGAGCGAAAGCGUGGGGAGCGAACAGGAUUAGAUACCCUGGUAGUCCACGCCGUAAACGGUGGGAACUAGGUG
rnacentral:rRNA from 1 species